rnacentral:rRNA from 1 species
UACAGAGGGUGCGAGCGUUAAUCGGAAUUACUGGGCGUAAAGCGCGCGUAGGCGGUUUUUCAAGUCGGAUGUGAAAUCCCCAGGCUCAACCUGGGAACUGCAUUCGAGACUGGAUUACUAGAGUAUGGGAGAGGGAAGUGGAAUUUCCGGUGUAGCGGUGAAAUGCGUAGAUAUCGGAAGGAACGCCGGUGGCGAAAGCGGCGUGCUGGGUCCCUUCUGACGCUGAGGCGCGAAAGCCAGGGGAGCAAACGGG